GCUUGAGAGAACUCGGGUGAAGGAACUAGGCAAAAUGGUGCCGUAACUUCGGGAGAAGGCACGCUGACACGUAGGUGAAGUGGUUUACCCAUGGAGCUGAAGUCAGUCGAAGAUACCAGCUGGCUGCAACUGUUUAUUAAAAACACAGCACUGUGCAAACACGAAAGUGGACGUAUACGGUGUGACGCCUGCCCGGUGCCGGAAGGUUAAUUGAUGGGGUCAGCGCAAGCGAAGCUCCUGAUCGAAGCCCCGGUAAACGGCGGCCGUAACUAUAACGGUCCUAAGGUAGCGAAAUUCCUUGUCGGGUAAGUUCCGACCUGCACGAAUGGCGUAAUGAUGGCCAGGCUGUCUCCACCCGGGACUCAGUGAAAUUGAACUCGCUGUGAAGAUGCAGUGUACCCGCGGCAAGACGGAAAGACCCCGUGAACCUUUACUAUAGCUUGACACUGAACACUGGUCCUUGAUGUGCAGGAUAGGUGGGAGGCUUUGAAGUGUGGACGCCAGUCUGCAUGGAGCCAUCCUUGAAAUACCACCCUUUAAUGGCUGGUGUUCUAACGUGGGCCCGUGAACCGGGUUGCGGACAGUGUCUGGUGGGUAGUUUGACUGGGGCGGUCUCCUCCUAAAGAGUAACGGAGGAGCACGAAGGUUGGCUAAUCCUGGUCGGACAUCAGGAGGUUAGUGCAAUGGCAUAAGCCAGCUUGACUGCGAGCGUGACGGCGCGAGCAGGUGCGAAAGCAGGUCAUAGUGAUCCGGUGGUUCUGAAUGGAAGGGCCAUCGCUCAACGGAUAAAAGGUACUCCGGGGAUAACAGGCUGAUACCGCCCAAGAGUUCAUAUCGACGGCGGUGUUUGGCACCUCGAUGUCGGCUCAUCACAUCCUGGGGCUGAAGUAGGUCCCAAGGGUAUGGCUGUUCGCCAUUUAAAGUGGUACGCGAGCUGGGUUUAGAACGUCGUGAGACAGUUCGGUCCCUAUCUGCCGUGGGCGCUGGAAGAUUGAGGGGGGCUGCUCCUAGUACGAGAGGACCGGAGUGGACGCAUCACUGGUGUUCGGGUUGUCAUGCCAAUGGCACUGCCCGGUAGCUACAUGCGGAAGAGAUAAGUGCUGAAAGCAUCUAAGCACGAAACUUGCCCCGAGAUGAAUCUUCCCUGAGCCUUUAAGGCUCCUGAAGGAACGUUGAAGACGACGACGUUGAUAGGCCGGGUGUGUAAGCGCAGCGAUGCGUUGAGCUAACCGGUACUAAUGAACCGUGAGGCUUAACCUU
rnacentral:rRNA from 1 species